rnacentral:rRNA from 1 species
CCUACGGGUGGCAGCAGUGGGGAAUAUUGGGCAAUGGGCGCAAGCCUGACCCAGCAACGCCGCGUGAAGGAAGAAGGCUUUCGGGUUGUAAACUUCUUUUAAGAGGGAAGAGCAGAAGACGGUACCUCUUUCAUUAGCCACGCCUAACUACGUUCCAGCAGCCGCGGUAAUACGUAGGUGGCAAGCGUUGUCCGGAUUUACUGGGUGUAAAGGGCGUGCAGCCGGGAAGACAAGUCAGAUGUGAAAUCCCGCGGCUCAACCGCGGAACUGCAUUUGAAACUGUUUUUCUUGAGUACCGGAGAGGACAUUGGAAUUCCAUGUGUAGCAGUGAAAUUCGUAGAUAUAAGGAAGAACACCAGUGGCGAAGGCGAAUAGCUGGA